CAGUGAAAGUGUGGAAAAAAGUCCAGGAUAUACAGUUUCCAGGAAAAAAAGACUCUAUGUGUUUUCCUAAUAUGAUAUGAGAUCAGAGUCAUUAAUAAACCAUUUAUGCUGUAGCUGAGAAAUGAAUAUGUUAAUAAAUCUCUUAAUGUUUCUUAAGGUCAAAUUCACGUAUUCAAAAUAAUGCUGUCACAGCAGCAGUGAUGGGUCGAUAACACUGAGAGUUGUUGGAAGAAUUCAGGAUAAAAUAUUCUACAGUCAAACAUGUUGGUUCAAUCAAUCUAACAGUAAAACACUUUAUUCUGUUUGUCAUUAUUGUUAAGGGGGGUACACAUAAGGAUUUUAUUAAUCUUAAGAGAUUUUUUAUCUGUAGAGCUCCCACACAUGAAGAUUAAAAAAUCAGCUUUGAUCGUACUGUGUGUGGUGUGCUCCGAUAUUCUCAGCACAGGACACCACACAUAAAGAUUAUCUGUCUCACGGCGGAUCUAGAAUCCAGUCCUCCGAGCCAGAAAUAUCGCGUGAUCAAACGUGAUCUACAGUAACUAAUGGCAACAACCCCAGCAUCACCGGGCUCUUCAUAAACAGAAAAAAGCAGACUGUAUAUCAAAAAAGAGUAAAUAAACCUUUUAAAACACGAAAGAUAUGGAAGACACAGAAGAGGGAAUGUGAGCUUUACUGACAACAAUACUUGCAUUAACCACCAGUAUGACGGUGGAAGAAGAAUUUAAAAGAAUCACCACUGCUCCUCUCGUCCCUAAGUUCUUCCUAAAUCUCGACAAGCAGACUGACAACCUAAUCAAAGCAUUCAGCAAAAAAGGAGGCAGGAAGGAGGAUUAAAAUGAUUUUGGCUCCAGUGACACAGGGGGCCAAACCCGAGGGGCCGAGGGAACGCAUAUGCAAGCAGACGCGUUUCCCAGGACCAGUGGUGCUAGGAACCCUAUUGUAAUCGUAAAGAUUUUGUUUUUCUCCCGCUAAAAGUGCUGCUGCAGGCUAAACCGUGCAAGGGAGGGCGGUUUAGAGGCUUGGUCCAUACACCUGCACGUACUUCAGACACCCAAAACUACACCUGCAGGGGGUGCUAUAACCUAGGCCAACACGUUUUUGCCUAUAACUCCCACACUGUAUGUCACGCAUUCAAAAACCUUGUAUCCCCAGAUUUCCUGAAUGGAGCUGAAUCACUUUGCUAUUGGCCAUGCCCACUUCCGCUUAACACAGUCUGUCUCUGCUUUUUGAGGCAACAUGAAAAGUAAAGCAAAACCUGCAUUUGCAACAGCAUAUCACCGGCAACAAUUCCUAUUAUGCGAUUACUGCAGUAU